rnacentral:rRNA from 1 species
CACGUAGGCACCAAGCGUUGUCCGGAUUUAUUGGGCGUAAAGAGCUCGUAGGUGGUUCGGUAAGUCGGGUGUGAAAACUUUGGGCUUAACCCAAAGCCUGCAUCCGAUACUGCUGUGACUAGAGUUCGGUAGGGGAGCGGGGAAUUCCUAGUGUAGCGGUGAAAUGCGCAGAUAUCAGGAGGAACACCGAUGGCGAAGGCAGGUCUCUGGGCCAUAACUGACGCUGAGAAGCGAAAGCAUGGGGAGCGAACGGG